UGCAAGUCGAACGGUAACAGGGAGCUUGCUCCGCUGACGAGUGGCGAACGGGUGAGUAAUAUAUCGGAACGUACCCAAGAGUGGGGGAUAACUAGCGAAAGUUACGCUAAUACCGCAUACGAUCUAUGGAUGAAAGCAGGGGACCUUCGGGCCUUGUGCUCCUGGAGCGGCCGAUAUCUGAUUAGCUAGUUGGCGAGGUAAAGGCUCACCAAGGCGACGAUCAGUAGCUGGUCUGAGAGGACGACCAGCCACACUGGAACUGAGACACGGUCCAGACUCCUACGGGAGGCAGCAGUGGGGAAUUUUGGACAAUGGGCGCAAGCCUGAUCCAGCAAUGCCGCGUGAGUGAAGAAGGCCUUCGGGUUGUAAAGCUCUUUUGUCAGGGAAGAAACGGGAUUGGCUAAUAUCCAGUCCUAAUGACGGUACCUGAAGAAUAAGCACCGGCUAACUACGUGCCAGCAGCCGCGGUAAUACGUAGGGUGCAAGCGUUAAUCGGAAUUACUGGGCGUAAAGCGUGCGCAGGCGGUUUUGUAAGUCUGACGUGAAAUCCCCGGGCUCAACCUGGGAAUUGCGUUGGAGACUGCAAGGCUAGAAUCUGGCAGAGGGGGGUAGAAUUCCACGUGUAGCAGUGAAAUGCGUAGAGAUGUGGAGGAACACCGAUGGCGAAGGCAGCCCCCUGGGUCAAGAUUGACGCUCAUGCACGAAAGCGUGGGGAGCAAACAGGAUUAGAUACCCUGGUAGUCCACGCCCUAAACGAUGUCUACUAGUUGUCGGGUUUUAAUUAACUUGGUAACGCAGCUAACGCGUGAAGUAGACCGCCUGGGGAGUACGGUCGCAAGAUUAAAACUCAAAGGAAUUGACGGGG
rnacentral:rRNA from 1 species